rnacentral:lncRNA from 1 species
AUAAAAAAGAAAAAGAAAUUGUGGGAUAAUAAAAUCCAAAAAACUCCUCCAAUCAAUAACAGUAUUAUACCGUGUCAUUAUCAGCAUGUUCAGUCCAGUCCAGUCCAGCCCAAUAAGCACGAAAUUUCUCUUAUCCAAAAUUUGUCCACUAACCUCACAUUAGCAAGUAACUAAUAACUUAAUCCUUGAGUUUAUUUAGAUUCCACAGUAAACACCUUUCUUACUUUUAAAAGACAUGUAUACCCCUUAUUUCAAUGGCGUGACUCACUUACAGAA